rnacentral:rRNA from 1 species
UACGUAGGGAGCAAGCGUUAUCCGGAUUUACUGGGUGUAAAGGGCGCGUAGGCGGGAUGGCAAGUCAGAUGUGAAAUCCAGGGGCUCAACCCCUGAACUGCAUUUGAAACUGUCGUUCUUGAGUACUGGAGAGGUUGACGGAAUUCCUAGUGUAGCGGUGAAAUGCGUAGAUAUUAGGGGGAACACCAGUGGCGAAGGCGGUCAACUGGACAGCAACUGACGCUGAGGCGCGAAAGCGUGGGGAGCAAACAGG